rnacentral:rRNA from 1 species
UCCCCUAGUAACUGCGAGUGAAGCGGGAAAAGCUCAAAUUUAAAAUCUGGCAGUCUUUGGCUGUCCGAGUUGUAAUCUGGAGAAGCGUUUUCCGCGCUGGACCGUGUACAAGUCUCUUGGAACAGAGCGUCAUAGAGGGUGAGAAUCCCGUCUUUGACACGGACUACCAGUGCUUUGUGAUGCGCUUUCAAAGAGUCGAGUUGUUUGGGAAUGCAGCUCAAAAUGGGUGGUAAAUUCCAUCUAAAGCUAAAUAUUGGCGAGAGACCGAUAGCGAACAAGUACCGUGAGGGAAAGAUGAAAAGCACUUUGGAAAGAGAGUUAAACAGUACGUGAAAUUGCUGAAAGGGAAACGCUUGAAGUCAGUCGCGUCGUCUAGAACUCAACCUGGCUUUUGCUUGGUGCACUUUCUAGUUGACGGGCCAACAUCAGUUUUGACUGCUGGAAAAAUUCCAUUGGAAUGUGGCACCUCCGGGUGUGUUAUAGCCUUUGGUUGUAUACAGUGGUUGGGACUGAGGACCGCAGCACGCCUUAUGGCCGGGGUUCGCCCACGUACGUGCUUAGGAUGUUGGCGUAAUGGCUUUAA